rnacentral:rRNA from 1 species
AGAGUUUGAUACUGGCUCAGAUUGAACGCUGGCGGCAGGCCUAACACAUGCAAGUCGAGCGGAUGAAGAGAGCUUGCUCUCUGAUUCAGCGGCGGACGGGUGAGUAAUGCCUAGGAAUCUGCCUGGUAGUGGGGGACAACGUCUCGAAAGGAACGCUAAUACCGCAUACGUCCUACGGGAGAAAGCAGGGGACCUUCGGGCCUUGCGCUAUCAGAUGAGCCUAGGUCGGAUUAGCUAGUAGGUGAGGUAAUGGCUCACCUAGGCGACGAUCCGUAACUGGUCUGAGAGGAUGAUCAGUCACACUGGAACUGAGACACGGUCCAGACUCCUACGGGAGGCAGCAGUGGGGAAUAUUGGACAAUGGGCGAAAGCCUGAUCCAGCCAUGCCGCGUGUGUGAAGAAGGUCUUCGGAUUGUAAAGCACUUUAAGUUGGGAGGAAGGGCAGUAAGCGAAUACCUUGCUGUUUUGACGUUACCGACAGAAUAAGCACCGGCUAACUCUGUGCCAGCAGCCGCGGUAAU